rnacentral:piRNA from 1 species
UGUGCUGUCUUGACAAGCAUUUGCUCAAGU